UACGGAGGGCGCGAGCGUUGUCCGGAAUCACUGGGCGUAAAGGGCGCGUAGGCGGCUCGAUAAGGCUUGCGUGAAAGUCCGGGGCUCAACCCCGGAUCGGCGCGGGCGACUGUUGGGCUGGAGCACGGUAGGGGCAGACGGAAUUCCGGGUGUAGCGGUGGAAUGCGUAGAGAUCCGGAAGAACACCGGUGGCGAAGGCGGUCUGCUGGGCCGGAAGGGGGCAGAGCAAUCUGUCCCCGUGCUGACGCUGAGGCGCGACAGCGUGGGGAGCAAACAGG
rnacentral:rRNA from 2 species